AUGUUUCCAUUCAAGUUCAAGAGGAAGCAAUUUCCUGUAAGGCUUAGCUUUGCUAUGACGAUUAACAAGGCUCAAGGACAGACGAUUCCGAUCGUUGGCGUGUACCUACCUAAUCCAGUGUUCUCUCAUGGUCAACUCUAUGUCGCAUUGUCUCGAGCCACCGCGAAGAGAAACAUAAAGAUCCUCAUUGAGAAGGAGAAGGAGAAGGAGAAUGGCAAGAAGCAAAGCAGUAAGUCAAAGAAGCGAAAAAGACCUGCCUUGUCCUUACAGACCUCGAUGAAGAACAUCGUCUAUAAGGAAGUCCUUACAGGCUGA
rnacentral:rRNA from 1 species